AACGAACGCUGGCGGCAUGCCUAACACAUGCAAGUCGAACGAGACCUUCGGGUCUAGUGGCGCACGGGUGCGUAACGCGUGGGAAUCUGCCCUUGGGUUCGGAAUAACAGUUGGAAACGACUGCUAAUACCGGAUGAUGUCUUCGGACCAAAGAUUUAUCGCCCAGGGAUGAGCCCGCGUAGGAUUAGCUUGUUGGUGAGGUAAAGGCUCACCAAGGCGACGAUCCUUAGCUGGUCUGAGAGGAUGAUCAGCCACACUGGGACUGAGACACGGCCCAGACUCCUACGGGAGGCAGCAGUGGGGAAUAUUGGACAAUGGGCGAAAGCCUGAUCCAGCAAUGCCGCGUGAGUGAUGAAGGCCUUAGGGUUGUAAAGCUCUUUUACCCGGGAUGAUAAUGACAGUACCGGGAGAAUAAGCCCCGGCUAACUCCGUGCCAGCAGCCGCCGUAA
rnacentral:rRNA from 1 species